UAUUAUUACCUCUAGUAAUGUUUCAGCGAACGCAAUGUUGUCGGGAUCUUGAAGAUCAAGACGCAUAUUCUUUGUAAGUGUCAGAACAGUUAUAUUACUCCAGAGCAUAGAUUUUCUGAGACACGCACCUACGACGUCUGCACGGCCGCCAUUCGGUAUAACUGGCAACGUUUGCCUGAAAUCUCCUCCCAUAACAACCGUAACACCUCCAAAAGGAAUAUUAAAUGUUGAGUGUGCAGUCCUACCCCCUACUAAAAGCAGCGAAGCAAUGCCUGAUGAGGCAACGGAAAAUGUUUUAGCUUCUUGCCGGAUAUGCGCAAUAGUUUGUCCAAGAGGUAUAAUCCAUAAUCCA